rnacentral:rRNA from 1 species
GAUGAACGCUGGCGGCGUGCUUAACACAUGCCAGUCGAACGAUGAACCUCACUUGUGGGGGGCUUAGUGGCGAACGGGGGCGUAACACUGGAGUAACCAGCCCUUGACUCUGUGAUAAGCCUGGGAAACCGGGUCUAAUACUGGAUACGACCCUCUGGCGCAUGCCGUGUUGGUGGAAAGCUUUUGUGGUUUUGGAUGGACUCUCGGCCUAUCAGCUGGUUGGUGGGGUAAUGGCCUACCAAGGCGACGAGGGGUAGCCGGCCUGUGGGGGUGACGGGACACACUGGGGGUGAGACACGGUACAGACUCCUACGGGAGGCAACAGUGGGGAAUAUUGGAAAAUGGGCGCCAGCCUGAUGCAGCGACGCAGCGUGAGGUACGAAGGCUUACGGGUUGUAGACCUGUUUGAGUAGGGAAGAAGUCGGAUUUUGGGUUGGUGACGGUACCUGCAGAAGAAGCGCCGGCUAACUACGUG